UUUAAGCGCAGCUAUAAGUUUCUGUAUCCAACGUCCAUCUUAUUUCAAUUUUUUUAUGAUUAGUAUUCUUAUUAUUAUUAGAUGAUAAAACAUGAAUAUACUUAUAAUUUUUUUAUUUUUUUAAAUAAGACUGAUAACUAAAGUUAGAAAAAAAAAACAUGACUACAUUUAAA
rnacentral:pre_miRNA from 1 species